GUGGGGAAUCUUAGACAAUGGGCGCAAGCCUGAUCUAGCCAUGCCGCGUGAUCGAUGAAGGCCUUAGGGUUAUAAAGAUCUUUCGCUGGGGAAGAUAAUGACCGUACCCAGUAAAGAAGCCCCGGCUAACUCCGUGCCAGCAGCCGCGGUAAUACGGAGGGGGCUAGCGUUAUUCGGAAUUACUGGGCGUAAAGCGCACGUAGGCGGACUGGAAAGUUGGGGGUGAAAUCCCGGGGCUCAACCUCGGAACUGCCUUCCAAACUCCCAGUCUUGAGUUCGAGAGAGGUGAGUGGAAUUCCGGGUGUAGAGGUGAAAUUCGUAGAUAUUCGGAGGAACACCAGUGGCGAAGGCGGCUCACUGGCUCGAUACUGACGCUGAGGUGCGAAAGCGUGGGGAGCAAACAGGAUUAGAUACCCGUGUAGUCC
rnacentral:rRNA from 1 species